rnacentral:rRNA from 1 species
GCGAACGGGUGAGUAACACGUGGGCAACCUGCCCCUCGCAGGGGGACAACCGGAGGAAACUCCGGCUAAUACCCCGUACGCUUGUUGGAUCGCAUGGUCCGGCAAGGAAAGGUAGCUUCGGCCAUCCGGCGAGGGAUGGGCCCGCGUUGCAUUAGCUAGUUGGUGGGGUAACGGCCUACCAAGGCGACGAUGCGUAGCUGGUCUGAGAGGAUGAUCAGCCACACUGGGGCUGAGACACGGCCCAGACUCCUACGGGAGGCAGCAGCCAGGAAUCUUGGCAAUGGCGAAAGCCUGACCCAGCAACACCGUGUGGGUGACGAAGGCCUUAGGGUCGUAAAGCCCUGUUGAUACGGGACGAAGGGCGAAGGGUUAAUAGCCCCUAGCUGACGGUACCUUUCGAGGAAGCCCCGGCUAACUACGU